AUACGUAGGGAGCGAGCGUUGUCCGGAAUUACUGGGUGUAAAGGGAGCGUAGGCGGGACUGCAAGUCAGAUGUGAAAUACCGGGGCUUAACCCCGGAGCUGCAUUUGAAACUGUGGUUCUUGAGUGAAGUAGAGGCAAGCGGAAUUCCUGGUGUAGCGGUGAAAUGCGUAGAUAUCAGGAGGAACACCGGUGGCGAAGGCGGCUUGCUGGGCUUUUACUGACGCUGAGGCUCGAAAGCGUGGGUAGCAAACAGGAUUAGAUACCCUGGUAGUCCACGCUGUAAACGAUGAUUACUAGGUGUGGGGGGACUGACCCCUUCCGUGCCGCAGUUAACACAAUAAGUAAUCCCCCUGGGGAGUACGGCCGCAAGGUUGAAACUCAAAGGAAUUGUCGGGG
rnacentral:rRNA from 1 species